rnacentral:rRNA from 1 species
GAUGAACGCUAGCUACAGGCUUAACACAUGCAAGUCGAGGGGUAACGAGAGGAAAGCUUGCUUUCCUUGUCGACGACCGGCGCACGGGUGAGUAACGCGUAUCCAACCUGCCCCCAACUAGGGAAUAACCUCGCGAAAGUAAGACUAAUACCCUAUAAUUUCCUCAGAUGACAUCUGACGAGGAAUAAAGAUUUAUCGGUUGUGUAUGGGGAUGCGUCUGAUUAGCUCGGUGGCGGGGUAAAGGCCCACCAAGGCAACGAUCAGUAGGGGUUCUGGGAGGAAGGUCCCCCACAUUGGAACUGAGACACGGUCCAAACUCCUACGGGAGGCAGCAGUGAGGAAUAUUGGUCAAUGGGCGGAAGCCUGAACCAGCCAAGUAGCGUGCAGGAUGACGGCCCUAUGGGUUGUAAACUGCUUUUAUACAGGAAUAAAGUUAGCCACGUGUGGUUAUUUGUAGGUACUGUAUGAAUAAGGACCGGCUAAUUCCGUGCCAGCCGCCGCCGUAA